GACUUUGCGACUCCAGCCCGAGCGCUAAGCAAACGGCUGAUGGCUGGUGGCUCUUGCCACCGGCCU
rfam:Pseudomonas alkylphenolica strain KL28 chromosome, complete genome.